AGGGGAAUGACGCAAAAAUAGAAAGAGGGACUCACACUUCAUCUCGUCUCCGUAAAACCCUAACACCGAAAUCGAUCCCGAACGGGAGUUUAUCCCCCAAAUCGGCAGACCUUAUCCUUGGAUUCCUUGUUCACCGAUCCUCCGUUCGAUCGAUCACUACACUUGGCAUUCGAGUCCGUUUAUCGGCGCCUUUUUGUUGUCGUGUAUCGGCCUUCUUCGGGCAUCAAUUUCGUCGAAUUUCGAAAUUUGUUGGCGGUUUGUCUCUAUUAGUGUAAGGCUGGCGAGCGUGGAAGGCGUGUAAUGGCGGAUCCGCCAGGUGUCCGCCGAUUGCUCAUGCUGGGUUCCCGUAUAAGAAGGCCUUUCGAAUCGCUUCUUCUGGGUUUAGGGUUUCCGAUUUGUGGCGGUGGAGGUGAGUUUGGAGUACCGAGAGAGUGGAAAGCAUGGUGACCGUGCUCCGCGUGCACCUUCCGUCGGACAUUCCGAUUGUAGGCUGCGAGCUUACGCCGUACGUGCUCUUGCGCCGUCCUGACAAGUCUGUUUCCACCGAGGAUGUUCCUGAAUCCGCUCCCCUUGACGGCCAUUUCUUGAGAUAUAAGUGGUAUCGCAUACAAAAUGAUAGGAAGUUUGCCAUCUGCAGUGUACAUCCUACCGAGCCAGCUACAUUGCAGUGCCUAGGAUGUGUUAAGGCCAAAAUACCAGUUGUCAAAAGUUACCAUUGUUCCACUAAAUGUUUUUCAGAUGCGUGGCAGCAUCAUCGUGUUCUGCAUGAGCGUGCUGCUAGUGCAGUAAAUGAGAAUGGGGCCGAGGAUGAAGAACUAUUUGGCCGUUUCAAUAGCACAGGAUCUGGGGUAGGUUUACCUGCUUCCCAAUCAAGCCCUAGCUUGGCCAAUGGUUCUACACCUGUAUAUCCGCCAUCAAUUUCACAAAGAAGUGGGGGUGAAACGUGGUUUGAAGUUGGAUACUCUAAGACUUAUACACCGACAGCUGAUGAUAUUGGCCAUGUACUUAAGUUUGAGUGCAUUGUAGUAGAUGUGGAAACAAAACUACCAGUGGGGCAUGCUAAUACUCUUUUAACUUCCCAUGUCAUUCCAGCUCCAACCCCUACUCCCCGAAAGUUGAUCUCUGUCAGUGGAAUUGAUUUGAUUGGACAUUUGGAUCCAGAUGGUCGUAUUUCAUCCACAGGAACUUUUACGGUGCUCUCUUACAACAUCUUAUCUGAUUCGUCUGCCACAACCGACUUUUAUAGCUACUGCCCUUCUUGGGCUCUUUCAUGGCCUUAUCGCAGGCAGAAUCUGUUACGAGAAAUAGUUGGAUAUCGCGCUGACAUUGUUUGUCUUCAAGAGGUUCAAAGCGACCAUUUCGAAGAAUUUUUUGCCCCUGAGCUGGAUAAGCAUGGUUAUCAAGCUCUUUUUAAAAGAAAAACGUCAGAGGUGUUCAGUGGAAGUAUUAAUACAAUUGAUGGUUGUGCAACAUUUUUCCGCAGAGAUAGGUUUUCUCAUGUAAAAAAAUAUGAGGUUGAGUUUAAUAAAGCUGCACAGUCUUUAACUGAAGCAUUGGUUCCUACUGCUCAGAAAAAAGCUGCACUGAAUCGAUUACUUAAGGAUAAUGUUGCACUGAUAGUGGUUCUAGAAGCAAAAUUUAGUAACCAGGGGAUUGAUAAUCCUGGGAAACGUCAGCUUGUUUGCGUGGCAAAUACGCAUGUGAACAUCCACCAAGAUUUGAAGGAUGUAAAGCUCUGGCAGGUUCAUACUCUGUUAAAAGGAUUGGAAAAAAUAGCUGCCAGUGCAGACAUUCCUAUGCUAGUGUGUGGGGAUUUUAAUUCUGUUCCUGGAAGUGCCCCUCAUGCGCUCCUUGCGAUGGGAAAGGUUGAUCCUAUGCACCCUGAUUUAGUUCUGGACCCUAUUGGAAUCUUACGCCCUGCUGGCAAGCUGACACAUCAGCUGCCAUUGGUGAGUGCUUACUCAUCAUUUGCAAGAAUGGGGGUUGGUCUUGGCUUAGAACAACAUAGGAGGAGAAUGGACCCUACUACCAACGAACCCUUGUUUACGAACUGCACCAGGGACUUCAUUGCUACUGUGGAUUACAUAUUUUAUUCAGCUGACUCGUUGACUGUGGAGUCUUUGUUGGAGCUCUUGGAUGAGGAUAGCUUGAGAAAAGAUACAGCGCUUCCUUCUCCGGAGUGGUCUUCAGAUCAUAUAGCACUUUUAGCUGAAUUUCGCUGCAAGCCUAGAACUAGACGCUGAUGCUAUUGAUAAGGAGGGAAAAAGCUAAAUUGUGGAGCUGUGUAGGUUCAACUCUGUUUCAAUGUUCUAUUACUGCAAUUAAGUGCAGUCUGUAAAAUUGGCUGGAAUUCUGCAUAACUGUCACUGUGAAUGGUCAGCUCAGGAGUGAAUCCUAAAGAUAGAAGAAGUGUAGAGAUAUCAAAGGAGAAGGAUAAGUUAUUGUAAGAAUGGUAAUCAUGCUUGCUAUGUUCUUCCCUAGGUAUCUGAUCAUGGGAUACUUGAUAUCAUAUGCUUUGCAUUGUGCUUCCUUGUCAAAUGGAGAUGUUAUGGAUAUGUAUAGAAGUUCAUUCAGCAAUACCAACAAGUGCAAUAUAUUUAACCAAUUUGUACUUUGACUAGAAUUUUCUGCAAAGCCAGAUUAGCUAUUAGUAUUUAGUAGUUGUAGCCUGCAGUCCUUUCAAAUGUUUGGAUUGGAUUUCUGGGCUAGCUUUGCUUUUGGUUGCUGAGAGGAUGGAUGUAAAAAGAAAAGGGUUGGAGGGAGCCAUGUUGCCUUCUUGUCCUCCAGUUUUCUGCAGCCAAAUUGUAAUAGAUAGCUAGAAGACUUGGAAUUUGGAUAUAAACAAAAAUAUAGCACCAAAGCGCCAGAUUUCUGAAAUAGGAUUUUACUUGCUUGUUUAA